UGGUGGAGCGAUUUGUCUGGUUUAUUCCGUUAACGAACGAGACCCCAAUCUGCUAAAUAACUGCAGGAUUCCUGUGUGAGGGUUUGUCACUGCGCUCGGUGUGAUCGGCUAAGGCUGUGAACACUUGGCGCGGUCGCUGUACCUCGCUUAGCACUGUUGCCCUCGGGUUUGACGGUGUGAGGUACAGCACCCGAGCACGAUCGGAAUGCUGACAAUUU
rnacentral:rRNA from 1 species